GAUGAAGAACGCAGCGAAAUGCCAUACGUAAUGUGAAUUGCAGAAUUCAGUGAAUCAUCGAGUCUUUGAACGCACAUUGCGCCCCCUGGUAUUCCGGGGGGCAUGCCUGUCCGAGCGUCAUUGCUGCCCUCAAGCACGGCUUGUGUGUUGGGCCUCCGUCCUCCUCCCGGGGGACGGGCCCGAAAGGCAGCGGCGGCACCGCGUCCGGUCCUCGAGCGUAUGGGGCUUCGUCACCCGCUCUUGUAGGCCCGGCCGGCGCUUGCCGACACAUCAAUCUUUUUUCCAGGUUGACCUCGGAUCAGGUAGGGAUACCCGCUGAACUUAAGCAUAUCAAUAAGCGGAGGA
rnacentral:misc_RNA from 1 species